UAACAGCUUUUGACACAUGUUAGAAGCUUGAAAGAUGCAAUUGCACUCACUACGAGGAUGGACCUGCGUUGUAUUAGCUAGUAGGUAGGGUAACGGCCUACCUAGGCGACGAUACAUAGCCGACCUGAGAGGGUGAUCGGCCACACUGGGACUGAGACACGGCCCAGACUCCUACGGGAGGCAGCAGUAGGGAAUCUUCGGCAAUGGGGGCAACCCUGACCGAGCAACGCCGCGUGAGUGAAGAAGGUUUUCGGAUCGUAAAGCUCUGUUGUAAGAGAAGAACGUGUGUGAGAGUGGAAAGUUCACACAGUGACGGUAACUUACCAGAAAGGGACGGCUAACUACGUG
rnacentral:rRNA from 1 species